rnacentral:rRNA from 1 species
UACGUAGGGUGCGAGCGUUAAUCGGAAUUACUGGGCGUAAAGCGUGCGCAGGCGGUUCGUUGUGUCGGCGGUGAAAGCCCCGGGCUUAACCUGGGAAUGGCCGUUGAAACUGGCGAACUGGAGUGUGGCAGAGGGGGGUGGAAUUCCGCGUGUAGCAGUGAAAUGCGUAGAGAUCGGGAGGAACAUCCAUGGCGAAGGCAGCUACCUGGACCAACACUGACACUGAGGCACGAAAGCGUGGGGAGCAAACAGG